rnacentral:rRNA from 1 species
CAAGAACCCCGAAAGGGGCCUUCGAAC